CAGCAUGUUGGAUGACGUGCCCAGGCCCCCUUUGGAAGGAGAGAUGCUAGGGAAGGCAGAGCUGAGGCCGGAGACGCUGCGGGCUCAGAGGUCACAGGUUCUACCCAAAGUUCACUCAUCCACUUCCAUCUAAGCUGCUUUGUCCUGUGUCCAACAUCUGCUUCAGGGAGUGGACCACAGUGAACUGAAUACACAAGAGAGGACAUGAUGUCAGCCUGGUUUUAGAAAACCACACAUCCAAGAUUCAAGCCAGGUAUGUGCUUGUCCCUUCAAACAAGCAAAGGGUACUCAGAACCCCAAGAGUCUGUCAAAAUUUCUGGACAUUUACCCAGAGAAACAUGCUGAAUUUGAACUAAAGAGUAGUGAAUUACAUCAACAUUCUGAGGCAGAAAUUAAAAUGUCCAUAUGAUGAGGUGCCCUGCACCCACAACUCAGCCCUGAGCACUUCCAUGGGGUCCCACCAAUCAGCAACUGGGUAUUUCAGCCUGAAGGAGAGGAGGGUCUCUGUGGGUUCUCUAGUGCCCUUUGACCAGAAUGUGCUGUAACAGCAACUCUGAACCCUGAUGCCACCUCCAACAGCAGAAGUCUGGUCUGCACUGGCCUGGGGCACUGCCAGUGUGAUUUCCUUACUCUUCUCCCUUUCAGCCUACAGAAGUACACAAUGGGCCAGGGUAUAACAAUCUCAGAGUCAGCCAGGACACUCACCCCACACCCUGAAAUCAAUGACACCACAUUGUAAGUCAUGUGAGCAGACCCCUAAACAAUCAGCACUACUCCACCCUGGGACAUAGCAUGAAACCAAGGACCAUCAAGCCUUUAUAUACCUUGCCCAGUUUUAGGUAGCUACCUGCCACAGGUGUCUGGCAGAGGAGGACGAGGCUUGGGGGGAGGGAAAAAUGCUUGA